AAAACAUUAUCAAACUUACUUAUAUUUUUUAUGCAUAGGUACACAAAAAUUAUGGUUGAGCAGUGGUGUUCAAAAAAAUAAACACUUAAAAGCGUCCGUAAAAAUAAAAUUCGCAUAUUUCGUAUAAUAAAAUGAAGAAAAUAAUACCACUAAUAAUAUGAGAUAUCUAAUUGGUUUUAGGUAAAAUGUCCGAAAAAAAAUAUCCGAACAGAAAAUGUCCGGUUUGUACACUGUAGCUAGAUAACAAGAAUUAACCCAAGUCAAUAGGAAUGGGUUUCACAUUAUGAUAAACCACAUGUUGUGAUUCUGUAUCAACACUCAAUAUUAAUAAAUAAUAAUACGGUUUAUUGUUUUACAUUAACAUCAUUCUCUAGUCGGUUGGUAUAUUUGUCGAUUUGUAAAAUUGCAUACAUACAAUGUAAAACGUAAAACGUUAAAGUUUUUUUUUCAACUUCACGAUUUCACGUAAUAUUUAUUUUGAAACUUUUGAAUCAUACAAUAACUAUUAAUAGUACUAUUCAUACUACUAAUACUAUUCAUGAAUUAACCUAAUCCAAUAUAAAUAAAUCUAAAUAAUGUUUAAACAGGUAUUCGUAUCCCAUUAAAUACAAAUUAAUCAACACACUACGUUAGCAAUACGUAAAGAAAAAUGUAUUGAAUUUUAAUUCCGCUUUGACUACGGAUUUGUCCAACAACAACUCAAAAUUAGUCAAAAAUCAUUUGCAUCCAGCUAAUAUUUUGAUCAGGAAAUUUUUGCUUCGAACAAGUAGAACCCCAAUAGUAUCAUACACUAGAUUUUUCGGUAAAUUAAUGAUUCCAGAGAAUAAAGU